GACGAACGCUGGCGGCGUGCUUAACACAUGCAAGUCGAACGGAAAGGCCCUGCUUUUGUGGGGUGCUCGAGUGGCGAACGGGUGAGUAACACGUGAGUAACCUGCCCUUGACUUUGGGAUAACUUCAGGAAACUGGGGCUAAUACCGGAUAGGAGCUCCUGCUGCAUGGUGGGGGUUGGAAAGUUUCGGCGGUUGGGGAUGGACUCGCGGCUUAUCAGCUUGUUGGGGGGGUAGUGGCUUACCAAGGCUUUGACGGGUAGCCGGCCUGAGAGGGUGACCGGCCACAUUGGGACUGAGAUACGGCCCAGACUCCUACGGGAGGCAGCAGUGGGGAAUAUUGCACAGUGGGCGGAAGCCUGAUGCAGCAACGCCGCGUGCGGGAUGACGGCCUUCGGGUUGUAAACCGCUUUCGCCUGUGACGAAGCGUGAGUGACGGUAAUGGGUAAAGAAGCACCGGCUAACUACGUG
rnacentral:rRNA from 1 species